rnacentral:rRNA from 1 species
UACGUAGGGGGCAAGCGUUGUCCGGAAUUAUUGGGCGUAAAGCGCGUGUAGGCGGUCCGCUAAGUCGGCUGUGAAAGUCCAGGGCUCCGAACCCUGGGACUGCCGGUCGAUGACUGGCGGACUAGAGUCCGGAAGAGGCGAGUGGAAUCCCGGUGUAGCGGUGAAAUGCGCAGAUAUCGGGAGGAACACCAAUGGCGAAGG